rnacentral:rRNA from 1 species
AGAUUGAACGCUGGCGGCGUGCCUAACACAUGCAAGUCGAGCGGUAACAGGUGUAGCAAUACAUGCUGACGAGCGGCGGACGGGUGAGUAACGCUUGGGAAUCUGCCUGAUAGUGGGGGACAACCCGGGGAAACUCGGGCUAAUACCGCAUACGCACUAAGGUGGAAAGCCGGGGACCGCAAGGCCUGGCGCUAUCAGAUGAGCCCAAGUCGGAUUAGCUAGUUGGUAGGUAACGGCCUACCAAGGCGACGAUCCGUAACUGGCCUGAGAGGACGACCAGUCACACCGGAACUGAGACACGGUCCGGACUCCUACGGGAGGCAGCAGUGGGGAAUAUUGGACAAUGGGCGCAAGCCUGAUCCAGCCAUGCCGCGUGUGUGAAGAAGGCCUUCGGGUUGUAAAGCACUUUUGUCCGGAAAGAAAAGCGCUGGUUAACACCCGUGGUGUCCUGACGGUACCGGAAGAAUAGCACCGGCUAACGUUCGUGCCAGCAGCCGC